CUUCCAGAGAGGCCUCCGAGUAGGCCUCCCUAGAGCCUGAACUCGGCAGGCCCCAGCAAGCCAGGAAGGAGGCUGGCAGAGCUCCCUGCAGCAGGCCAGACCAUCCAGCACAGCUUUUGCAAGGGAGCGCAUUCCAAAUCCAGGGGCAGCAAUGGAGUAGGGGCAGCAAUGGAGUUCCUGAGUAGCCGCCGGACGAGUUGGCGGCAACCGCAGAUGAAACUCUACAGAUGAUCUUAAUAGCCCAUGGUGGGGCUCAUGGCAAAGAAGACAUUCUCUUAAAUACCUAGGGCCUAAACUGUAUAGGGCUUUAUGGGUAAUAACCAGCACCUUGUAUUUUGCCCAGAAACGUAUCAGCGGCCAGUGUAAUUCUUUCAACACAGGAGUAAUAUCGUCUCUCCUAGAUGACCCAGAAACCAACCUGGCUGCCUCAUUCUGGACCAACUGCAGUUUCCGGACUAUGUACAAAGGCAGCCCCACAUAGAACGCAUUGCAGUAAUCCAGCCUAGAGGUUACCAGCAUAUGUACCACCAUUUUCAGAUCGUUCAUCUCAAGUAAUGGACGGAGGUGGCAUAUCUGCCAAAGCUGAUAAAAAGCACCUCUGGCCACCGCCUCAACCUGGGACACCAGGGAGAGGUUUGGAUCCAGAAGCAUGCCCAGACUGCAUACCUGUUCCGUCCAGGGGAGCAUGACCCCAUCCAGAACUGGCAGAUCAAAAUCGUCUCCCAAGUUCUGACCCUGCACAAUAAGUACCUCCGUCUUAUUUGGAUUCAGCAUCAGUUUGUAUGCCUCUUGUCUGCCCCUCCCAGCAAGGCCUUGGGUGGUAUCCCAUCCAGCCUUGUACUACUUCUUGACUGGAAAGGCUUCCCUAUCUCAUCUGCUUUGCCGUGAUUGGUAUCAAUGGUAAAUGGGGCUGGCUUGCCUGGAACAAACCGGAGGUUAAUGAAGAGCCUGGGUUCAGAUAGUGUGAAUCUAAGUUGCAGCAUUACUAGGGGUGACAAACCAACUUCAGUUCUUGAUUGUACAUCUAGGUUUGCCACCUUGAGGGAACAUGUGGUUCCCUCAAGGGGCGGGUUUACACGAUUGCAAACAACUGGACAGCCAAGAUUGCAAGUAGGUUUUGUGUUACAUCUGAACUCAACCAAAAAGGCAGCUUCAUAAAUGAAUCCAGCUGCUAGAGGAAUUCUGAAUAUACAGUAAUGACAAAUCCACAUGGAACAAACGCUUCAGCUGAAGUGAAGGAUUUGGUUAAAGCAACAUCCUGUAUGGAAAAUAUCCCCACAUUUUGGAAUGGGAAGGAAGGCAAAGUAGAGUCAGUUGCAAUUUAUGUGGUUAACCUGAAAAGCAACUAUACAACUGACCUUUUUUUUUUUUUUUUGGUACAAUAGACACAGCCGCUUGCUCUGUAGUUGUAUAGAAGAAAGAAGGGCAAGCAUCCAGAAUAGCAAGAUGAAAAAUGAUAUGUGGCUUACUCACAACCUUCUCCAUUUCACAGAGCUUUCGGAGAGGGCUUGCUUAUUUGAUGAAGUCAGGAUAUUAAUUUUUUUUACUGUUUAGUCAUAAACAGAUGAUUCCUAUAAUAGCCUUUGUUUCCUCUGCUACAGGAGGUCUGUAUGAUUAAUCAAAUCUCCUACAGCCAAUGCCAACCCAAACAGAUGAAUGCCAGGCGCAUCUGCUGUAGAUUAAACAUUUGGAAAAACCAUUUUAUAAAUAUUUCCCCCCAAAAACAACACAUCCAUAUGGCAAAUUAACUGGGGUAUAUAUUUAAAACCCUCUGUGUACACUCUAUAGCCUUUCAAAAUGCACAUGUAUUAAUUUACAGUGUCUAAUAAGUACAGUUUUCAUUCAAUGGAUAGCUCUCUGACUCAUUUUUUUAGGAGGCAAAUAGAUGUCCAUAAUUUGAGUGGUGAGCCCACUGGGAAAAUGGCCUCAACCUCAUUCCAGGUAAAUGUACAAUUUUCUCUCUCAGACAAUGUUCCGCUUCUGAGUCUUUACAGCAGAAGCCAGCUGUGCACUGCACAGUGCUGAUUGGCUAGACACUGAUGACAUCAUUAACCUGCCUCCUCCUCAUAGAAGUUUUCCUCAACUUUCAAAAUGGUUUGUUCCUGCUUUCUUAAAAACACACACACGGAUUAAUAUACAUUUAAUUGAAUGAAUACACAGGUGGUGCUUUAAAAAUAAAAGAGGACAAAUAUUUUACUUAAAGUAUGCAGGAAGGAAGGGCAAGACAGGCUACUAAAUAUGCAUUCAGGGGGCAGCCGGGGACAAGCUAUGGGGGGAAAUGCAAGUCCUGUCUUGAAUGUUCAUAUGUAUUGAAUUAGGAGGUGUCAGAGGAAUUUGGAGGUGUGCUCAAACAGGGUUGUUGGGGGCCCACAGUAGAGGUGGUGAAGGAGUCGAUGUCUUUCAACUGUAUUGCAUCACUGCAAUUGUUUAAUUGUUGUUUUAAAAUGUUUUUAAAUUGUUAAUUGUUGUUAUAUUGUUUUUAAUUUGUUUUAGCUCUUUGUUUUAGUGGUUUGUUUUAAUUGUAAACCGCCCUGAGCCAUUUUGGAAGGGCGGCAUAUAAAUCAAAUAAAUAAUACCUAACAAAGGUGGGCAAGGAGCAAUUCUGGGGAUCACACUGAGGUGGUGAAGGAGCUGAGCAGCCGUUGAGCUCUUCUUGACCAUUGGCACCUGUCAUUAUCCCCCCCGCCCGCCGAGUGCCCUGGGGAUGAUGCUAGAUGCUGCAUGUGUAGCUAGAGAGCCAGACAUCUUUGUGGACUGCGCUAAAACUGGCUCUUGGAAGAGAUCUUCAAACCAUUUGAUAAGUUUUUAAGGUCAGAAGAAAUGAUUGGUGUUGUGAUAGAUCUGCCUUCCUGAAAACCUCUGGCCAAGGGUAUGGCUGGAUGAUCUACUCAGUGUUGGCAGCUAGCCACUACUACACGGCAAGAUAACAAACCAAUGUAUGUAGACGACACAUAAGACACUCUGGAGGCAAAACAAAGAGUGCUUUUGUACAAUUCUGGGACGAAUAAUAAAAAUAUGAACCAGGUCAAAAUGGAAUGGGAACCAAACCAGCUUUAAUAUAUUAGAGGUUCAAAGUCAUUAAAGCUCUGUGUUACAGAGACAUUCUUUGUUCCUCAAGGCAGCUAUUAGCAGAGUUCUAGAAUGAACUAAUAUCAGGUUGAUGUAUAAUGUGCAAUGAAGACUCCCAAUUCUCAAGUAAGGAAUUCAGUAGCCAUAAGCUCAAAAAAUGUGCAGACCAGUGGUAUAAUGGCAACCAAGGUGGAAGAGAUAGUAGACCCAGAAAUCAUUGCUUGAUACCAUUUAAGACAGGGGGUGCUCAGAGAGGCAUGGCGCAGGUUUGCAGGUAUUGAACAUCCAGCAGUGCCCCAGGAUAGGCAUAGGCUACCCUGAUGCAAGUUGCAACAGUAAAAGCAACUGGAGACGGAGAACACUGUUCACAAAGAUAACAUUAUGUCAAGUGGCUUUGUUUAGUUACGUGAAACAGUAGUCUGAAUUUACCUAUAGACCACCAAGGAGGGGUCACAGUGCUCUCUCUGAUUCUUUUCACCUGUGUGCAGAAUGAGUUUUGUUCUGGGUGGCAGUAUCAAGGCAGUGUGUGCUCACAUAUAAUCCGAGUGAGACCUUCCUGAUGUAACCUGAGUGGGAUCUAAAAUUAACUGAGUGAACAUAAAAAAGCUUCUGAGUGCACACAAAUGUGCAUGCCUUAGAGGGAACACUGGUCAUAGCUCAGUGGUAUAGUACAUGCUUUGCUUGCACAAGGUCCUAGGUUCAAUCCCAAGCAUAACCAGUUAAGGGCACUCAGGUAGUACAGCAGCAAAAGAGCUUUUUGUCUCCUGGGUAGCUGCUGACAGUCAGCAUAAAUGAUACUUGGUUAGACAGACCAGUAGUUAGACCACUACAUGGCAGCUAAGUUUUGUGAAGUCAGUUCCUCUCCCCUGAAGUUUGUUCUUUUGUGAAUAUGCCUAAUCAAGUGCAAAAUCACAGUUCUGAGGACUUUCCUCCAUGCACACACUAUACACACAGUGAUGUGCCAUCUAAAUUAGCAUGCGCAUUCGAUAAGGUUCUCAGGUUUGUUUGUUUGUUUAGCAUAUUUUUAUAUUGCCCAAAACGCAAGUUCUCUGGGCAGUUUACAGGACAAUAAAAACAAGCAAUAAAAAGAUUAACGUAUUUCAACAAUUAAAAUUUAAAAAGUUAAAACUAUUAAAACACAAUUAAAACAUAUCUGAUUAAAAGCCUGGGUGAACAAAUGUAUCUUGACUGCCCUUUAGAGGUUGUAAGAGAUGGGGAGGCUCUUAUUUCAGCAGGAAGUGUGUUCCAAAGCCUCGGGGCAGCAAUGGAGAAGGCCCGUCCCCGAGUAGCCAGCAGACAAGCCGGUGGCAACUGCAGACGAACCUGUCCAGAUGAUCUCAAUGGGCGGUGCGGUUCAUAGCAAAGAAGACGUUCUCUUAAAUGUGCCUUAGUUAUUCUCUUGAAAUGACAACAGCAACAAUCUCUUCAUUUUCUGAACUUAAAUAAGGCAAGACUUCUUUGGUUCUCUCUGGUCUGGGAGCAAGCUGAUGCGGGAGGGGUGUGUGUGUGCGUGUGUGUGUAAAAACCAGGACCUGGGGCAUUUCCAAACAAGACUAUAGCCCUCUCCAGACAUAAGGAGAAAAGAACGGUGUACUUGGGUACACAGUCUAAAGCAGAAAAGGAAGUCCCACCCUGCAGGCGCAUCCAUAAUUCCCCCCCCCCCUCCACUUCCCUCCCUGCUCAUGCUUACAGCAUUCAUCUGAGCAUGAUGGCGGGCGCUUCCAGGAUCGGGAGGCUCCAUCCAAACACUGCAUGCUUUGGGAAAUGAAUUCUACUUCACAGAGCAGUGCUGUUUGUCUGCGUGUUUGCCUGCUCCCUCUGCACAACUUGUCUAUUUGUAAAUAGUUAUGGCAAAAAUGCCACCAGUGCUCUCUGUUCUCAAGUAAAUGGGGCUGCAGCCUUUAGCAGCAGCCCCUGGAAUUUCCCAGCACAGGGACUCCUGUGCACAGAACAGCACAAAGACUGGCUUCACACAUAGUACUGAUCCAGUGGUUUGAUGGAGCUGCUGGAGCCCUGGACAUGAGCACAAGCCCUACUUCCAGUUUUGGGAACAAUAUGCCAAGAUUGGGCAUGUUGUGCAAAUCCACCAAUCUUGGCAUAUCCUGCCUUAUUUGUGGCCUGGAACUUGACACCUGGCCCUCACUUCAAACCUAAGUCACAGAUGUUACGUUCCAUGCAGCAAGUUGGAUAGGAUAUGCCAGGAUUGGUGGGUUCACACAACAUGCCCAAUCUUGGCAUAUUGUUCCUAAGGUCAGAAGCAGGGCUCAAAAACAAGCCCAGGGCUCCAGCAGCUCUGCCGAACUGCCAGUUGGGCAUUAUGUGUGAAGCUGCCCAAAGUGGUUCUUUUUGCCUUAUCCUUGUGGCUGAGACAGCUUUUUGCUCCCUUCCAGAGGCUGCUUUACGAGGAAGAAGCAGGAGCACUUGGUCAUGCAGCUUUGCAAGUCUCCCUGCACUGUGUUCAGAGGGAGGAGACCCCGUUUCCAGCUCUGUAAUCUGCCGUGACAGCUUCAACUUGGAAAAGAUAAUCUAAAAGGCCCAUCAUCCAAACAGUCUAGAUCAGCUGGGUUCUGAGAAAGGAAGUUUGUGUUUCCAUUAAAGCCUAGAUAAAAUCUCAACUUUGUGUCACUACAGCUCAGAAAUGUUUGGAUCCAGAUGUAAAUAUUAACAUUUUUCUGCCUUCUUUAAAUACCAAGUAAUCCGGUGUGGGGAGCAAGUUGCUGCUUUCCCCACCAUGGAAAUGAAGAUACAAUGAGGAGACAGCAGUGCUGUUUUGAAUUUCAUGCGAUGACUGGAUUCUGGACGGUGAGAGGGCUAUUUACACAUUAAUGUUGUACAUGUGUACAUAUUUCUGUGUGAAUGACUGUACAUGUGCUCAUUACCUCCAGACUGCCAACGGCAGCACACACCCAUCCAAACUGUCCAUCAUCAACCUGGGCAGAUGAUUCACCUACCAACAGCACCUCCAUUUUGUCUGGAUUGAGUUUCAUUUCAUUGGCCCUCAUCUGGUUAUUUCCCAAAUCCAGGUACCAGUGCAGCACAUUCCACUGCCUCACCUAUGAUAUGGGUGAGUGAUCGUUAAUGUGCUCAUUUGGAGGCCUCACUUGUGGCCACAGCCAAGACAACUAGGAGAACCACUGUUCUAGAUGUUUAGACUUCCAUUGUCAUUGAUUUUGUACCUUCUGCUGCAGUAGCUCUCGUAAUAAGAUCUUGGGGAUUAUUCACACGAUUGGGCAGGUGAGGGGGCAGGCUGCUCCAACGCCAGCUGCCCCAACUCUGGCUGCUCCAACUCACCUUCCUCACAGACAAUCACAGAAAUGCUGCUGGGAGCAUGGACUGUGUUCCCAGAUGCUCUGCACUACACCACACAACACGGAGCUCCAGAGGCUGGAUCUCCAUCAUGGCCUCUGGUUAUCCCACAAUGCACUGCAGCACGCGCGCGGUGCAUUGAUGUUAUCCUCUGUCAGAGGGGUGUAAUCUCUGCAUGCAGCCCGAGGAGACACACAAUCUUGGCAGCUAGGUUAAGGGAGCGCUUGCUCCCUUAACCUUGGCUAAGACCCGGGUUUAGGAGUAGGGUUAGGCUGGAUAGGAGGGCCGGGUUCUUUGUGGAUCCCAGCACUCCACACAAGCAACCUAACCCAGGGUAGCCUGCCUUUGCCUGGGCUAGGCUGCUCGUUAGAACAGCCUCUGUCUCUUUGUACUGAGAAAAUAGCUUUGAAUAGGAUUACAUAAGAAGCAUGCUAUGAACAGAUGUUAUAUACUAGAUUAUGUUGAUUUUCAUUAACACAAUGUAUUAGUAUGUAAAAGGAGAUAAUUCUCUUGCUUGAACUGAGUAUUUCAUUUCAUUUCAUUAGCAAUUUUCAUUUGAACUUACAGGCUAUUAAGGAAUCAAUAAAAUACCUAGAGCCAA